GCGCUGCUACCGGGAGGGGUUUUAAGUUCACAGGAUGGCCCGCAGGAGCAACAUCACUCAAACACGCUUAUGAGGAAACAUCAUGACACCCUGUGACGCACUGCUGAACUUUUGGGGACUGGAGAGCACGAAUCAGAAGCGCUACUGGUCCUUGAAAAAGAUACGCCUCGAGAAAGAACAUCAAGUACUGGCCCAACAGAACUGUGAAGGGGACUGCCACUGAUUGCCUUUAUUGUUUUGACAUUCUAUAUUGCGGCGGGUGUUGUGUAUGCGUCGCGAUGUGCAUUGUGUCUUGGGCCACCAGGUUGCAGGGGCUCACCCCCUACCUGCUCAGUCAUUGGUUCAUGCUGUGAAGGGGUGGAGUGUAGUGGAAUUUCAGGGUCACAGCCUGAACCAAUGGGUGGGCUCUGUGAGUGUGUGAGUGCGGCGGCGCGGCGGUACGAACGGGGGAGGGACACAUUCCUCAGCUCAGCUCGGUCUGCGCGCUGCUACCGGGAGGGGUGAGUCGAUUCUUUUUGAUAUCUUUCCCUCGUGUGCCUAUUUCUUAAAUAAAGGCUUUGUCAUCACCU
rnacentral:lncRNA from 1 species